AAACAGCUGCUUUUGGGGACUGAUUUCUGGGUAGCACCUUCCCUUUUCCUCCACUAAGCUGGACAGCUUUAAUGGAGUCAGUCCUGAUCAGACCAGAGGGUCGCCCUUGUUCUUGGCAAAUUCCUUGUUCACAACAGCUGAGUGGAAGAUGGAUUGGAGUAGAAAGAUACCUGAGUACUACUGAUUGAAUAUUGGUGUAUGAGAGACUGAGGAAUCAAGGAUAACACCUACGUAGCCAACCUGGGUAACUGGGAGAAUUAGAAUACCCUUAAUAAUCACAAGAAAUUUAGAUUUUGGGGAAAAUAUAAGUUCAUUAUUGGAUAUAUUGAGUUUGAGAUGUCUAUAGAACAUCAAGUUUGAAUUGUCAAAAUGGAAACUGGAGAUGUGAGAUUAGAUUUUGGUAGACAGGUUAGGGUUAGUCAAGGGAUGUUAACUGAAUCAUGAGAAUUGAUGAAAUUACUAUGUAUCUUACUCCUUUGUAUACCUUUUAGUCUGUAAGCUCCCACUAAACAUAGACUUUUACAAGUAGCAGGCAAUUAAUAAAUAUGUUGAACUGAACUAAAAUGAUUGCUCUUUGAUGUGACUUUGGGCAUCUUAAUUUCCGAGGGAAUCAGUUUCUUCUAUAAAAUAAGGAGGUUAGAUCUGAUGACAACUUCUGGCUCUAGAUAGAUGAUGAUAACACUUCUGCAAUGGAAGAAUCCUCAUGGGAGAAAUGACGAGCUGAAAGUUAUCAAGCCCAUAUCUCUAUCCAAAAAUGCUACAUGUCAGGUAACUAGAGAAUACCCUAGUUUCUGAAGAAUUGAAAUUGGAAGUUAUCCAGAGAGGAAUGGAGAGAUACACAAGGAACAUUAGGAUGUGGAUUAUGCUGAAUUACACAAAAGAAGUACUGUAAAUGAUGUCAUCAAAGAGAUAUAUAGAGAAAGAUGGUAAAGUAAAUGUUUUUUGCUAAUCUCUGAACCCUAAAAAUCUCAGGAAAGGAAAUAUGCACUAAAUAUAGACUAUUUCCCAUGGUAAGAUUUAAGAGUUGAAUUAUUUAGAGUUCUUAUUCAGCAAGCCCAAUUCCAGGUGCAGCCAUCAACAAUUAUCUCUUGUAGGCUUGUAUUUGAUAUUCUGAUUGUAUAACUGCCAGCCAAUUUUCCUAUGGCAAUGGCUCACUCUACAUCAUCCAUAUACUCACAAGAAGUAGAGGCCACUGAUUCUGACCACUAAAGAAAAUUAAAUUUAGGUGGGGGAGAGAAUAGAGUGAAAAACAGUCCAAAGGAAAGAGGGCUAGAAGUCAAAUAGUACCAGUCAUCUAUAGUGUUGAAUUAACUCUGGUCAGAAUCUAGUCAUGCUUUCAUACCCCAGAAAAUCUGGAGUCUAGGGAAACCCAGUCACAGGAGAUUGUGAAGCAACAGGAAAGGGAAAGUGCUAAAUUAUAAGGAGGAAAGCUGGGGGGAAAAGCAAAUGGGAAUAUAAGACAAAAAGAAAACAAAGCCCAAGGGAUAAAAACUAGAUAUUAAACUAGCUCCAAAAAUAUAAACCAGCAAAUGUUAUGAGGAUAAAAAAAGAGAGAAACAUUAGAUUCAAAGCCAUGUAAAACACAUUAAGCAACUAUUAUAAUAUGAAGUUAAAAUAAAACCAAAAAUCUCUAGUGAAAAAAUAUAAUCCUGUCAAUUCUCUAGGGAUUAAGGAAUGAUAACAACUCUAAAAUGAUUCAAAAGAGAGAUAAAACUAUUAAAAGAAGAAAUUGGCAUGAAAAUAGAUAAUAAAUCAAAGAUUGGAAUGUAGAAUUAAAGAAAACAAAUGAAAGGGCAUAGAAAUUAAAAGAUACAAUGCAAAAUAUCUUCAAAGAAGCAGAGGCUUAAAAUAAUAAGAUCUGAAAAUAAAAAAAAUACAAUAGUACAACAAGAUAUGGCAGAAGAAAAGAAAAAUAAAAUAACUUUAACAAAACAUAUUAAUCCUAUAGAAGGCAAGGUGAAUGACUGAAGACAAGAUAUAUAGAGGUAACUUAACUUAGUUCUCCUAGAAUAACCUUAUAAGCUUCAAAAACUUAAAAAUCAUACUAAGGGAAAUAAAACAAAAGAACUGUUUUGGAUAGAGAAGAAAGUACUUAUUGAUCAAAUCCACAAAUUUCAUAGAACACUUAAAACAAGGUAAAAUUUUAAUUUUCAAUUAUAACAUCAAACAACAAAUUUUGCAAGCAUACAAGAGGGAAAGACUUUAAUUAGUACGGAAUGUGAAUCUGAGUAACUGAGAAUUUCUCCGCAGGCAAGAAAUUGAAAAAAUGGAAUAUGAUGUUCCAAAAGACAAAAGAGCUUAAGUUUCAUUAAAAAUAAUAUGUCAUAGCUGAACAUAAUAAAAAAAUCAUCCUAUAUCAAAUGAGAGGCAUUUCAAGCUUCCAGAAAAAGCAAACAAACAACAAAUAAAGAUAUAAACAAAACACCUCAUGCAACUUCCAAAAGCUGCAAAGGAGGGAAACAAAGGAAAGAUAAAUAAGUGCAUUAAUCAAGAAAAGACUUAGUGAUGAGAUUAUUUUCCUCAUAUUUAUAGAUUAGUGUUUUUAAAAAGUAAUUUGGUUGAAAGGUAAAUGAGGUAAGAGGGAUCAUAAAUCUAAGAGGAUUAAGCUUUAAGGGAAUUAUAAAGAGAAGAUAGUUUCGAAAAAACUAUUUGAUAGUCUGCAGACUAAAUAUUUUGUCCCACCAGAUAACAAGAUAGAUACAUGAAAUAUAUAAUAUAUUAUGAUAUUUGAUGAGCAAGAAAGAAAAAAAGUCUUUGCAACUACAGAUAAGAGUUUGUGGCCAAACAACAUUGAGAGGAUAAAAUAGACAAUUUUGACUAUAUAGAAUUAAUUAUUUUUGCACAAAUAAAACCACUGUAGUUGAAAUCAGAAUGGAAACAAUAAAUUGGAAAAGAAUCUUUGCAAUAAACUUCUAUAACAAAAGUUUAAUUUCCAAGAUAUAUAACAAACUGAUUUAGAUGUAUCUGAAUAAUAUCCAUUCACCAAUAAAUAAAUGACCAAGUGAUUUUCAAAAGAAGAAAACCAAGAUAUCAAAAACUAUACAAAGUUUACCCCAAAUUACUAGUCAUUAGAGAAAAGAAAUUAAAGUUAUUAUGACUUUCUCCAACACAUAUCAAAUUGAUAAAGAUGACAAAAAAGAAAAAAAACGACAAUUGUUGGAAGGACUUUGGGAAAACAGGCAUAUUAAUACACUCUUGGUGGAAAAGAGAAUUGAACUAAUCACUAUAAAACAAUUUGGAAAUCUCCUCUACACACACAUUCGAUUACUAAACUUUGAAAAACCCAGUGAUACCACCACUAGACUUGAACACAGAAAAGAUAAAAGAAAGAAAAUACACAGGCACAAAAAUAUUAAGGAAACCUUCCCUAAGUGCUCAGUUCCAGAGCUUUCCCUCUGUUACUUGUUUCCUAGUUGUUCUUACAAAGCUUCCUUUGUAUAUAUGUUUGCAUUCACUCCCCCAUUAAAUCAUAAACUCCUUGACAGAGAUUUUAUUCUACCACUUUUUGUUUUCUCAUCAUUUAGCAUAGAAAUUGGCAAGUAAAAGAUGCUUAAUAAUUGUUUAUUGAUUGAUUGAUUAAUAGUUGUUUUGGUGGGGAAGGGGGGGUUGGGUAGAAAAGACAUCCAUUUUUGUGGAGAAAGACAAGAGGAUUGUAAAGAUUUUAGUCCAGAAGAUUUAGAUGUAACAUCAACCCACUCUCUCAAGACAGCUGGGAGGCAUUGUAGACAGAGUGCCAGAAGUGGAAUUGGGUAGAAUUAAGUUCAAAUUCUGCCUCUUAAAUUUUUUAGCUGUGUAACCCUAGGCAAGUAUCUUAAUAUUUCUUAGCUUCAAUUUGGUCAUCUCCAGAAUAGGGAAAAAAGUAGCUACCAACUUCACAGGGUUGUUAUAAAGACCAAAAGAAAUUUACAGAAAUUAAAGUAUUAUACAAAUGCUAGCUAUAAUGAAAGAGCAGAUUUGUAUCCCAUCCCAUGAGAGGGAAUAUAAAUUUCCAUAGUGGUUAUCACUAUUCUGUGUUCAAGAGGAGAUAUUAAAUCAGAAAUCAAACAGAUUAGCCUCAGAAGUGGUGGGAAAUAUUGGCAAGGAAAUGAGUAAGAUGAAGCCUCAGAGCGUGGGAUAUGGAGUAACUUUAACCAACAACAUGGCUACCUUCAUGAAUUUAUAUUUUUUGCAAGUGGGAUCUGACAUAAAUUAGUUCUAAUCAAAACCAAAACAGAAUAAAUUACAUAAUAUAUGUAUACAGACAGAUAGACAAAAGAGAAAAGAGAAUAAAACUUAUAAAAUCAAUAAGAUAGAAAGACAAUGUAAGAGAAAGAUAAAAUUUGGUACCUCAGUAAUUCUGCCUUCCAUGAGCUAUAUUGAACAAAUUAAUAAUAAACACAUAAAUAUAUAAACACCAUUACUUGUAGAACAUAGAUUAGAUUAGGCUAGAAGUAUUUACAAACAAGAAAGGAGGUACAGCAAUAGAGGACAUCUUAGAAAAAUGUGCCACAAAAUAUUACUAAAAUUAAGAUUUUGAGUAACUGGGGAGAAUAAUAAAACAAAUUUUAAUCAUAUGCUUAUCAGGGAAAGUUCAAAGAGUGGGGGAGAUGAAAAAACUAGACUAUUAGAUAGAGAGAUAAUCAGUCAAGAAUUAUUUAUCAAGUGCUUACUAGGUACUGGACACUAUAUUAAACACUAGGAAAACAAAUUCAAACAAAAAAGGAAGACAGAUUUUUCCAUCAAGGAGAUUACAUUUUAAUGGUAAAUGACAAUAUUCUAUUUUAAUGAGGGAAGACAACACAUGAAAAGAAAGGUGAAUGGCAUGGAGGUAUGGGACAAGUUUCCCAUAGAGAUCAGAGGAAAGUAAGAAAUCCAAAUUUCAGUUUAAAGAGAAAUGAAGAGAUGGUGGAACUGAGUUUCUUCCUUAUAUGUAGGCUCUAAGAAGAGCUAUCCAAACAGAACAAGGGCCUUCAGUUGGGCAGAAGAUACUUCCAAGGUAUGUAUUCCAGGGCUAAGAUGAUCCUCCAGGAUGGAGAGAUCUGUAGGGAAAGAUGGAGAAAUCUGGAGUACUAUCUGGUGAGAAUUGAAUGAAAGCUAUAUAAAUAGAUAAACACAGAUAGAAAGAUAGGUAGGUAGGUAGGUAGGUAGGUAGAUAGAUAGAUAGAUGGUAGAUGGGUUGAUAAAUGGGAGUAAGAAUUAAGAAGAGUUCCCGAGAAUAGAUUAGCUUCAAAGUCGUAAAAACAAAACUAAUUAUAGGAGCAAAGUGCUCAGGAAAAUGAAGAUAAAAACAAUAUUGUAUAAAUAAAUGGAGUAAAACACAAAUAUGACCUGCAUAGUCCUAAAUGUGACUAGAUUAAAACCCCCAUUAAUGAAAGAGAAUGGUAGACUAGAUAAGAAAACAGAACUCCAAAGUUACUACAUAUAAGAAAUGUACCUAAAAAUUGCAAACAUAGAGAAUGAAAAUGAGGAUAUAACAAAAUUUACUAAUACAUCAAAACAAAAGUAAAGUUAAGAGGUACUAUCUUGAUAUCAAAUAGCAAAAAUAAAACUUCACUUGCAAAGGAGGGAGGUAUGAGAGGUAGAGAGAGAACAUUUAUUGCAAAAUGUCAGAAAAUGAGUAUUAAAAAUUAUAUUGUCAUGUAAUCUGUAAAAAAUAAAAAUAAAAAAAUAAAAUUCAACAUAUCAAGAUGGACAAAUAUGGAAACCACAUUAUCCCAAAACUUAUUAUAGAUAAUAGAAUAAUAGAAAUAUUAAGCAUAUAUGCUCAGAGUAGCAGAUAUUCUAAAUUCAUUAUAGAAAAGCACAUUAAAUAAUUUAUAGCAACACAAUAUAACAACUGUAGGACAUUGAGGAUUUUAAUUUUUUUGUUGCACAGCUUGAUAAUCCAGGAGAAAGACAAACAAAAAGGAAAACAUAAGUAAAUAACCUGUUGAAGACAUUUGAGCUGAAAAAUUUAUGUUGUCUCCUGAACUAUAAUAUUAAAUAUACUUAUAUCUUAGCAACAAGAUAUGUUUUUAUAGAACCAGAUUUUUGUGCUGGAACAAAUAAAUGUGAAAGAGGUAAAAGUAUGCAAACCUAUCCCUUCUUGAUGACAAUAUACUAAAAACAGUAAAUAACUCAGGGAAUAUAAAUAAAGCAUAUCAAAUUAAAUGGAGGUAAUACCAUUAUUCAAUGAGAAAAUCAAUGGUCAAAUUAUAAAAAUGAUAACUUUGUAAAAGAGAAUGAUGAUGCUGAGACAAAAUAACAUUUUUAGAUAAUAGAAAAUUCAUUAUCUAUUAAUAUAUUAUUUGCAUUAGGAUACAGGGGAUAGCACUAAAACAACCAUCAUGAAAAUAUAUACUGAUAUACAGAUAUACAUAUAUACAUAUGUAUGUGUGAACAUGAAAAUAUAAAUGAACAGAAUAUACUAAAUUGAAUCAAAAAUUAAAAAUUAAGUAUUGAAAGUUCAUUCUUGCUUCUCAUUUUCAUUCUAUUUUCAUUAUUUAAUCAGUACAUUUACAAGCACAAAAGAAUCAUAAAAGAAGAAACUUUUAUUAGAGGAAAAAGGUAAAAUAGAAAAAAUAAAAUUGGGGAAAUGAUAAACAAAGCUAAAAUCUGUCACUGAAAAAAUUACAAUUUUGAUAAAUCUUUAGUAAACCUGAUAAAAUACAGAGGAAAACCACACAACCAAAAUAAAAAUGAAUAAUAUGAAUUCACAUAAGAAGAAAUAAAAUGAAUUCUGAGAACCUACUAUUCACAAGCAAUUUUGUUAGAAAGACUGAAAACUUAAAGCAAAUGACAUCCUUUUCCAAGUUGAUUUAAUUUACAGUUCCUUUCUCCUUCUAUUCACUUCUGGUCUAUUCUGAACUCUGUUGUUCAGUUAAUUAGACAUACAUUUACAUAUUUCUUCUUUAAUGUCUUAAUAAACCCCACAAAAAAAAAUGAAGUUCAGAAAUUCUUAACCAAUAUCAUGAGAUGAAUUUGAAUGAUCCAUAAAAUAACUAUCAAAUUAAAAAAAAAACCCUGUGGUCCAGAUGGCUACAAAAGUGAAAUCUACAUGGCAUUUAAAAAUAAUCAAUACUUACAAAUUAUUAUUAUACUCAUAUAAUUCUCAACUUAUAUUCAUAUUAUUCUCAACAAUUUAGAAAUAAAAUAUUAUACCAAAUUCCUUUAGUGAGACAAAUAAUUGUUCUAACACCUAUAUUAAGAAAGACUAAAGUAGAGAGAGAAAAUUAUAGCUCAAUAUCAAUAACAAUUCACUAAUUACAUAUAAAAUCCUAACAAAAUAAUACAAUGAUAUAUUAAGAAUAAAAACAAAUUCACUAACAUUAGUUGGAUUUAUACUAGAAUACAAAGAUGGUUCAACAUUAGGUAACAUAAUUAAUCCUAUUAAAAACAAAUAAAUCAAAAGAAUAAUUGAAAGUUGUAACAAUCAAGUUGCAACAAGGGAUUACAGAUGGACACCUCUGUAUAUUUUGUGCUAUGAAUCCUAGAGAAGAGCCCCUAGAAAUCUAGGUCUCUCUCUCCUGAGCUUUAAAGUAGUAGCACUAGUAGCUUAACUCUAUAUAAAUUGAAUAGCAUACAAUUACUUUGUAUGCAUUAUCUCAUCACAGUUUAGUUUUUUAUAAAGAACAUGGAUAAGCAUCCAGAGGACAAGAGGGUAUGACUACACUGUGAUCUGGUUGGAAGAUAUGAAUUCACACAAGGUUGCCCUAUACAUUUAUAUUUCUUCUCCAACCAUCAAACAUAUUUUCUUUCACAUGUAUUAAAUUCUAUACUUAUCAGUUUUCUAGAAGUGCCAUGUUUUUAAUAAAUUCUCUUGUUCCUUUUGUCUCUUCUCGUUUUUCUAUCCUCUUUUCCAUGGUAUACUUUGCCUUCUUGACCAAUUUGUGUGCCACCUCUUUUAUACAAUUGCCAUUCUUGCUACCUCAGAUGAUCUUCUUUCCAUUCCAUGGUCCCAACUGCUUGUUCUUCCUCUUCUUUCUCACAAUAUUUUAGAUGUUCUUUGUGGCAUGCCAACUUCAACCUAGUGUUCAACAAUUUCAUCCUGAGAAAUUGCCCUUCAACCACUCUUCAGAUUGAUUAACCAUCACCAUUAUUUCCUUCCAAACUUUCUUUGUUGACUCUGUCCUUUCUAAAUUUAAAGCCCCAAACAAAAUGUGCACAGAAGUAAAAUUUGCAAACAUUUCUGAGACCAACAUUUACCCCCAAAUGGAAAAUACUAUUGCUCCCAAUGACUACAAUCUUGUAAGUUGUAAUCCAAGAUCGUCACUAUCUUGGAUGAAUAGGCCUUAAAACUGGAAAAGACUUUAAGACAAAGCAAAUGAGGAGGACCUUGCAUUUUAUUAGCAGGGCAAAUGAAAUGCAAGGAGAACAAAUGACUUUCCCAAGGCAACAUGAAUAAUAAAUGGCAGUGGGAACACAACCUAGAACCUUAGUCUCUUGGAUCUUACUGAAAUGCUAAGAAAGAAAAAAUGAAUGUGGGAAGGAAGUAAGGGAGGGAAGAUAGAAGGAGAAAAUGAAGGAAGGAAGGAAAUAAGGAAUGAAUGAACAAAUGAAAGAUGAUUCCUUAUGUCUCUAUUAUAUGCUAGACAUUAGGCUAAGCACUGGGCUUACAAAAAUAAGAAAAUACAAUUUAUUCUCAAGGUACUUGCAUGCUAAAUGGGGAAGAAGCCAAAACAUGAAGGAAAGCUAGAAAAAGUGGGGAGAAUUGGAAAAGGAGGGCACACAUGUGCAAGGCAAUUGACACAGAAGUUGAACACACCAGAAAGUGAGAUUAUUAUUGUGAUGUUAAAAAAAAACUCAUGCUUGUUUUUUAUUCUGCUCUUCUCUCUUCUCAACUUCUAACAAAAUGAUAUUCCUUCGGGCUUAAGAGUAGCCCUCUACUGCCCUACUACAGAAUCAUAGUCAUUAUAGUGUGGUAAGUAGGCAGAGUACUGAGCUUGGAUAUAGGUUCACGUCCUGUUUCUGACAUUUAUUAGUGGUGUAGCCCUGGGCAAAUCACUGAACCUCUGCCUUUGGCAACAUUUGGGGCCACUCACUUCAUUAAAUUAUAAUUUGUUUUAAAUGUGCUUUAGUGGUAAGAGUACCCAUAUUAGGAGUUCUCUCAACUAAUGAGAUUAUAAUCAUGGAGCUAUCUAUGCAGUACUCAUAAAUCAUUUUAAUUCAAUUCAAUAUACAUUUAUUAAAUGCCUAAUGUAUGCAUCAGACCCUGUUGGUUCUCAGGGAAACACAAUGCUUAUAAAAUAUCAAAAGAUCUGAAUGCCAAGCUUGAGGUGUCCCUAGAAAAUCAUCUUGUCCAAUUCCCUUAAUUUUAGAUGAAACUGAAGUCCUUAGCAUAUGCUCAAGCACACAUUGGUAAUAAAUGUCAGAACAAUGUUCAGAACUUGAAUCCAAGCCCUCUAGCUCUAAACCCAACCCCCUUUCCACUGUAUCAGUUUCAUUUAAAUUCUUUUGCCUGCCUGUCAUCUUCAAGUACACACUUUAGAUGGAGUUCAAAUAGAGAGAUGAUGAAUAUGUUCCAUAGUAAAUGUCUAAAAUAAACGUACUGAAACCCUAAGAAACCAAAACCAUCUUGGCUGCCCUCCAUGUAGCAAUUAUGAAGGAGUCAAGGGAAACUCCACAAGUAAAUACUUGUUGACUGACUGAUGGACAAGCUGGCCUCUGAGGUUUGCUCUCCCCAGGCUGCUGCCAACACAGCAUAUCCCAUAUUUAUGUUUGUGAGUGUUGGCUGGUUCUCUCUGAAAUGAUAAAAUGAUUAGCUAUUUUAUGACCAUAAAGCCACAAAAGGUGCUAAGCAGCCUGUUCUUAAAAAGGAAGGUUCAGGCCUUGUGAAUGCACAAAUAACUUUCCAUGACAGUCUCCUUCAAAUUUCAUUAGAUGUGCCAUGAGAAAUUAGGUGUGAAAUAAAUAUCAUUUUUCCUUACUGGAAUCCAUACCCAGAUUGGCAUGUGGAAGAAAAAUCCAUUUAAUAAAGUUGAUAUGACUAUUGUGCCAGUUUUCAAUGUCCCAGAUAUCUGGAUAUUAGCAAUAGAGAAAAGACAUAAAUUGAGUAUGAAGAGGAAGGAGAAUGAGGUUUCUAAAGAACCAGGAACUUUAUUUUUCAGGAAAAAAAAUAAAACUGCUCAGGUUUUCUUUGAAAUGUGUAACUUGGUUCAUUUCCAUUCAAUAAGUAAUUUUUAAAUAGUUACAAUGGUUGAUUCCUUGGAUCAAGUGUUUAGGCAUAGUGAUGGUUUAGAUAUUACCCACAAGGUCCAAAAUAUCUAAUUAGUUGAAGCAUGUAAUAUAUAAGAACCAGCUUUGGCAUCAGUCAAUUGGUUAGCAUUUAUUAAAUGCCUAAUACAUACUAGGCACUUUGCCACAGGCUGGGAAUACGACAUAAAUAUGGAACAGUCAUUAUGCUUGAAAAGCUUACAUUCUAUUGGAAUAGAUGACUUGCACAUAUAGUUAUGUGAAUCAUACAUACAAUGAAAUAAAAAAUAUUAUUUGGGGGAUCAUUGGCAGCUAGAGGAUGGUGGAUAAGGAAAAUGAUGAUGUAAAAGGUGACUCUUGAGCUUAAUCUUGAUCAACAGUAGGAAUUCUAUAAAGUGGAAAUGAAGAAGGAAGGAAUUUAACCCAUGGCAGACAGUCAGCAAAAAACUACGGAGUCAGGAGGAAUGUCCUGUGUAAGGAAUAAUUAGAAGGCCAGUUUGAUGGAGUCUCAGAUGGUAUGGUGAGAUGGAGUUUAAUAAUUCUGAAAAGGUGGGUUGAGGUCAGGUUGUGAAAAGAUUUAAAAAGCAAAUAGAGAAUUUUGUAUUUCUUCUAGAAUAUAGAUGCCCAGGUAAAACUGAACUCUGAAAAGACAAGCUUCAUUUUUUUACUGGCUCUUUGGGCUGAGUGCAGUCAUAAUAGUUCAUUAAAUAUCAUAUCAAUAAAGUUGACAACAGAACCAAAAUCAUGUGGGGGAUUUGGAAAUAUAACACUAUGGAGAGGGAUGAAGCUUCAGAUGUAUUGCUUUUCCCCUGUUCUUUUUCUUCCCAGGUAUUUCUAAAUAAGUGAGAGAUACAGUCAUCAAGCUUGAGGAUGCUCCAGUGUUCACUGUUGUACUGUCAUUUCAGCACUCAUCUCCAGUGGAUAGCUAUUGUAGAAGAAGAAAAAAAAAGAGGGAAGUCUUCCCACUUCUGAGUUCCCUAAGACUGACUGAGCCCUUAGUCAACAACAGUAUUGUUAGCAUCAUAGUGCUACCUGGUUAAAACCAUUCUGGAAUGUCCUGAUUCUGUUGGUUAGCUCAACAAGACAGUAAUAUUAAUGGAAAGACAGUAAGAGAACACUUCUCACUAAGAUGGCCACCUAAAUGGGUUUAGCUCUCCUGUAUCUACUUCAGCAAAACCUUGUAGUUCAUACUAGAUCAAAUAAUGAUAAAAAAAAUCAAAUGAGAAGUCACUUUAAGUGAUUUCUUACACUCUAGGAGGACAUAAAGAAUAAGUGAUAAUUCAAUAGGUAUGAAAAAAGGAAGCCCUGCUAGCCAAGAGAGAACUGGCUCUACAAAAGAUGGGCUACUUAUAAUCUGUGUCUAGAGACAGCAAGACUGGAGGGAAGAAAGGAGAGAAAAGUCAUUUAUUUGGCUUUACGAAGGAAAUUUACAUUUCUGCUUGAAGGUCAUCAAAGGAAAAAUAAGGAAUAUUAAAAUUCAACAAUUUGCUUUUUCCAUUAAAUGAAAAAUGAGAAUUCCAUUUACAAAAUCA